rnacentral:rRNA from 1 species
AUUGAACGCUGGCGGCAGGCCUAACACAUGCAAGUCGAACGAGUGGCGGACGGGUGAGUAAUGUCUGGGAAACUGCCUGAUGGAGGGGGAUAACUACUGUAAACGGUAGCUAAUACCGCAUACCAUCAGAUUGGCCCAGAUGGGAUUAGCUUGUUGGUGGGGUAACGGCUCACCAAGGCGACGAUCCGUAGCUGGUCUGAGAGGAUGACCAGCCACACUGGAACGGCGACACGGCCCAGACUCCUACGGGAGGCAGCAGUGGGGAAGAUUGCACAAUGGGCGCAAGCCUGAGACAGCCAUGCCGCGUGUAUGAAGAAGGCCUUCGGGUUGUAAAGUACUUUCAGCGGGGAGGCGUUACCCGCCGAAGAAGCACCGGCUAACUCCGUGCCAGCAGCCGCGGUAAUAC